AUGCGGCCCUGGCGGGGAAUGGGGCUGGCGGUGCCGGCCGCGGUUCUGCUCGUGUCUGCAGGCAGAGCCCAGGUGCAACAGGACCUAUUUUCAGAGACCACAGAGGGCAGUGAAAUCACCAUCAAGUUCUCAACCGCCAACAUACGAAUUGGUGAUUUUAUCCAUUUCUACCGACAGCUCCCUGGCCACAGACCCGAGUUCCUGGCACACGCUCCUAAAGGGUCCAGAGAGCUGUGGGUGCCAGCGGGGCGGCUGUCGGUGUCCGGAGAUCGUCGUUGGACCGUCCUCUGGCUCUCCGCAUCCCGUGUUAGGGACGCGGCGCUGUAUUGCUGCGCCCUGCCGGACACGGAUUCAUUGACACCAUCGUCUUUGGAACUUUCAGGGGAUUUUCUUAGAAAUAGAGAACCCGGUUAAUUGUUUCUACAGUGGAGUAAAAUAGCG